ACCUACGGGGGGCAGCAGUAGGGAAUUUUCGUCAAUGGGCGCAAGCCUGAACGAGCAAUGCCGCGUGAACGAGGAAGGUCUUCGGAUCGUAAAGUUCUGUUGAAGGGGAAAAAGAGCGGAGAGAGGAAAUGGUCUCCGAUUGAUAUUACCCUUCGAGGAAGUCACGGCUAACUACGCGCCAGCAGCCGCGGUAAUACGUAGGUGGCGAGCGUUAUCCGGAAUGAUUGGGCGUAAAGGGUGCGUAGGCGGCCUGCUAAGUCUGGAGUGAAAGGUACCGGCUCAACCGGUACAGGCUCUGGAAACUG
rnacentral:rRNA from 1 species